rnacentral:misc_RNA from 1 species
GAUGAAGAACGCAGCGAAAUGCGAUACGUAAUGUGAAUUGCAGAAUUCAGUGAAUCAUCGAGUCUUUGAACGCACAUUGCGCCCCCUGGUAUUCCGGGGGGCAUGCCUGUCCGAGCGUCAUUUCACCACUCAAGCCUGGCUUGGUGUUGGGCGACGUCCCCUUUAGGGACGCGCCUCGAAACGCUCGGCGGCGUGGCACCGGCUUUAAGCGUAGCAGAAUCUUUCGCUUUGGAAGUCGGGGCCCCGCCUGCCGGAAUACCUACUCGUAAGGUUGACCUCGGAUCAGGCAGGGAUACCCGCUGAACUUAAGCAUAUCAAUAAGCGGAGGA